CAUACCACCCUGAACGUACCCAAUCUUAUAUGAUCUCAGAAGGUAAGUAGGAUUGGGCUAGGUUAGUACUUGGAUGGGUGGAAAGGUAGACCAUCACAUGCUCUCCCCUAAGGCACCCUGGCC
rnacentral:rRNA from 1 species